GGAAGGGAAGGGAAGGGAAGGGAAGGGAAGGGAAGGGAAGGGAAGGGAAGAGAAGAGAAGAGAAGAGAAGAGAAGAGAAGAGAAGAGAAGAGAAGAGAAGAGAAGAGAAGAGAAGAGAAGAGAAGAGAAGAGAAGAGAAGAGAAGAGAAGAGAAGGCUGAGAGUGCAGCCAGCAGACGUGCACAAGGAGGAGUGCAUAAUGCAAGAAAAGGAGACUGAAUUUGCAAAUUCCCCUGGUGUGCUUGCCGGGGACAUCACACAGCACAGGUGGUCUGAAUAGCACAGGUAGGUUGAAUGCCAGCACCAAGCGCCAACGCAUCUACCCCAAAGCCCUGGGUGAGGUUAGUGGGAGCAAAAUCUAACUCCAGCUUUUGAGGUUGCCAUCUCAGUAAGAGAGAGGGAGAGAAGGAAAGGGAGCAAGAAGGUUAGGGAGUGGGGGAGGGCUGGGAGCCUGCAGACUUCUGUUGCCACAUGAUUUUCCUGGUUUCCAAGCUGCUGCUCCAACAGACAUGCACGAGUCCCAUGUGAUGGCUUAUUUACGAAAGCACAGUUGUAAGGCUGUUUGCAUCUCAUAUCCGCUUGGCAGCCCACCCGACCACGGGCUCCAGGGGCACCCACUGCAUCCUCCCCAUCUGCACCAUCAGGCCAGGUGGAUGGGUGACCCAUGAUGGAAGGACACUGCUGCUGAGCUGCUGAGACGAUGAAGCAGAGAGGAGAAAUGUCUUUCCACUGCUCUUUGCAGCCCUUUGCCUGGCAUUGUGUUAGGAGGCUCCAGAGGCAGGCUGCUGUCCCUCCUGCACUUUUAUGAGGGAAAGAAGCUUGCUUUGAGAUAUAUCUCGCUCCUUUAGAGCACCCAGAAGCAAGCUUGCAGUCAAAAUGACACAGCAUAUGCUGGUAUUCCGAUGUUUACCUUCAAAUAGGUGCAGAUUCUUUUUAUUUGAGUGGAGCUUUUUCUGGUCUCUUCAGCCCAGAGUCUUCUUUCACCCAAAUAUCCACUCAAUUAAAGAGGAAAAUUCCUUAUAAAUAAUGUGGAGGAGGCAGUGAAUUAAAGUUUGUUGUUUCUUUGGAAAUUGAUGAUUUGGCAUACUUUCAAUCAGUUUGUACAGAGAACCCCUAACUCCAGUAAAAUUGUUCUUAGUCAAAGAGAGGACCAAGACAUGAGCAAGAGAGACACAAUGUGUGAGGAGAGAGUUUUUGAAGGUCAGCAAUAGAACCUGAAUUCACAGAGGCUGUGAUGGGACAAGAUUAUGCUGCAGUAAGCCAUAUAUUUUAGGAGUGGUGUUUUCCUUACUCCAUAGCAUCCCUAGGAAAAACAUCAACCAAAAAGUCAUCACCUCAUAUGCUGCAAAAACCCCUCUGGUGAUCUCUUCCAAAACCAAAGUUCCAAUGAAGAAAGGAUAUCUGACAUUUUAAAACUUCAGUAUGGUCAAACCACCCAGCAUCAUCCCUAGCUCCUCUUUCCAGACAGCCGACUUUUGUUUUAAAUUGCCCAAGAGCCAAGACUGCUAUCUCUCCACACAGAUUAUAUCUCCCGUGGCCAUGCCUCUUUCCUUCACACUCAGUAAAUCGCCUCCAUGAAGGGUUAAUUCAACCAGGGCCUUUUACUCCAAGUUGUUUUCCAAGUAGCUGAGAGAAUAGGUCUCUUGUUACAAACAUGGCUUCUGGGCAUUUGGUGAUGCUUUCCCUUUUCUCUCUCUCUGUACCACAAAAGAAUCUUUUGUUCUGUCUCUCUGUCUCAUUUACUCUCCCCCACCCUGCUCCUGCUUCUUCCCUCCAUUGGCUGCCAAGUGACUAAGGAAUGGCAAAAAAUGACCAUAGCUUGGUCAUGGCAAAUAUUUCUUCACCUAUUAUCUGAUAGAGACCUUGAGCAUCCAUGUGAAGGCCCCUCUGCUUCCACUGGGCUUCUCUUAGAGAUGGGCAAGAAUGAGUCAGACACAACAGGGCAGGAUAUAAAUUGAAUCAGCCCAACAUGCUAAUGGAAAUAUCUUGCAAAUUGACUCACGGUGCCUGUUUCAGGAAAAUCAAAUGAUAGGGACCCAGCAGUGGCAGGAGUCAAGUGGCAGCUACAAUGGGUCUAAAUUUUUAUGGGAACUCAGCAUUUUUUCAUAAAUGGGAGGCACAAAAAAAGUCUCUUUCUUGCCUAAACAUUUACUGAUUCAGUUGGUUGUAAGCUGGAGCUGACACUCUCUGUUGGAUGGUACUGUCACAUAGUUUCCUGCACUGUUGCUGUAAAUCUUCUUGUGCAUGAUCUCCCACCACAGAAAAGUUGUGGCAAAUCCCCAUGAACAUCAUGUCUUCCCACACCCCAUUGAAAUUAUACUUCAGGCAUUCCCACAGGCAUCCUUCCAGCUAUAGUCUCCUUGCACAUACUGCUUCACUGAGUCACCUUACACGCACACAGAUAUGUAAAAGAUCACAUGAUGCCAAAGUCACUGCAACUUCUACAAUGACCUUUCUGCAAGAGAAACAAUUCCUUAGCCAAAUUCCCACCUCCUUUCCUUUCAUAGCAUUUGGGUAUAUACUUCACUGAUACUGUGUUCUGCAACAAAAUAAAAUUCUUCAUUCUCACCUGAUGCAAAUCUUUCUGCCCUUCUGCUCACCUUCUCUACUGACCCUCUUCACUCCUCUGACCACCCUUUGUCCUGAGUCAAUCUCAGUCCACAUCACGUGUUAGAUUAACAUGGCAUAUGCUGCUGGUGUCCAUCUGCCAAGCUUUCUGCACUCUUCUCCCAUUUACUGCCUUCACUAUUUUGGAAGGUCCUUGAAACAAUCAUUGAAUUUCAGCCCUAGCCACAUCCCGCACACAAACAUACAAAGCUGUGGAUGUAAGGCGUUAUGCAGAGCAUUUUUACUCCUGUAGAGAAGGGGAAUGGACUACAGAUGAAAGGGCCAUUAUAUUCCCAUAUCAGAAGGACUUCUUGUCUGGAGGAUUUUAACCAAGCUGGUUAAAACAUCAUGAAAACGAUGCACUGACCAACUCUUUAUAUUCGUACGGCUCUGCCCACAAUAAGGAUUUUUGCUUAGUCAACCAUACUGUUUCAAAUCAGCAUGCAGGGCAGUUUUCACUGGAAAGCCUCAAGCUCACCCAAUAUGUAACAACAAAGGAAUAUAUAAUAACCCUUUUUCCUGCCUCCUGGCUUGAUAGCAUCUAAAUGAAUCCCAAUAAAGACACAGAGAUUCUUCUGCAAUCUCAACUGUGCUCCACUGCUCCCACAGCAGCUCUUUCGUAGAUGGUGCUCGCUGGAACACUGAUCAUGUCCAUCACUAAAGACAACCAAAGCACCCUGACAUGAAGAAUUUUACUCUUGUCAGAAAAACAAGUCCCUGGAAGAUCCAGAAACUUGUUAAUUCCGAUGUUGUGCAUCUAACGCUGGAAAUUUAAACCUCCCCACCAUACAGUGCCUCUGAUGGAGCAAUGUAUUGCUGGGUAAUCUUGGAAUUGUCCACUAAACAAUGGUGAAAGUUUAAGGAAAAGGCUUUGCCUCUCCCUGCUUCAAUUCUUCUUCACGUGGUGGGAUGCCACACUUGAUACAAAGACUCUAAUCAAAGGCAUUAUACUUUCUGGAGAGCCCCAUCAGGGUCAUCUUUGCACCUUGUGAAGACCAAGAGGUCAGCUGUUGGAGUCCCUUUGGAAAAAAGAAUCUACCACCAUCUCUUUCACAAAUGAGAAGCCCAAGGAUGGAUUAUAGAUUCUUACUUAGAUAAUUUUGGAUGAAUCAAGAAAAGAGAGGAGGGUUAGCUGGAUGUCUAAAUAAAGCCAAUGAGAUCACA